rnacentral:tRNA from 1 species
GGAUACAUAGCUCAGUUGGUCAGAGCAGCCGCCUCAUAAGUGGAAGGUCGCAGGUUCAAGUCCUGUUGUAUCCA